rnacentral:rRNA from 1 species
CCUAUCCUAUGCGGGCGAAGGAUACUUGAGAAGGGUCGUUUCUAGUACGAGAGGACCGAAACGAACGAACCUCUAUUGCACCAAUUGUCACGCCAGUGGCAUAGUUGGGUAGUUAUGUUCGGUUGUGAUAAGCGCUGAAAGCAUCUAAGCGCGAAGCACGCUUCAAGAUGAGGUAUCCCUCCAUUUAUGGACUAAAGACUCCUUGAAGAUUACAAGGUUGAUAGGCUGCAAGUGUAAGUGCCGUAAGGUAUUCAGCUGAGCAGUACUAAUAAGUCGUGAGACUUUUCCAU